UUUAGCUUUCUUGUUUAAUAAUUAGAUGCCUUUCGUAAAAACUGUAUCACUAGACUUAAGAUUUAGGAAUCUAAAUCUUCCCUUAAUGUAAACUUUAUGCGAAGCAUAGUUUACGAAUUUCGGGGACGAAAUUCUGUUAAGGGGGGAGGAAUGUAGCGCCCCAGUUUUUAAAACAUAUUAAUAAUUUGAUUAAAGAUGAAAAAUGAUUAUUAUGUGAAUAAAUAAACGAUCAAUUGUUUGAUAAAUAUUUUCAACUGAUUUAAUAAACGGUGUUUUAAUAAAUCUGAUAAUCCGAAAAUUUACUAAGUUAAUAAAAUAGGCAGAUAUGAAUAAAAUAUCAUUAAUUAUAAUUCCCAACCAACGCAUCACUUCACAGUUUUAAUCUACUCGGUGUUCUUCAAUCUGCCGCACUGAAACUCCUACUCUGCCUAAUUAUUCCCACCAUUUUCUCCACUCCUCAUUAUUAUAAGUCUAUCGAUGCAAUGAGUAAUUAGUGGGCAGCUUGUCAUUGCACUCAUGAAUAGAAUAAACUCUAUAAUAUAAUCAUUAGUUUCCAUUAUUAGUUUAUUAACCACAUUAUAUAGUCGAGCACCUUCCCUCUGCAGACGCACUUCUCCUUCUUUUUCAUUAUGCCUGCUCCUUUUCUUGUUAUCCCUUCUUUCCAGCACAUUAUGUUUAAUGAUAUUAUAUUUAUAAGUGGCCGACUAUCAUAAUUGGAACACUAUUUCCAGCACCUUCCUUCUCUUCCUUCAUUAUUUUAUAACCCCACUUUAGUUCCUUAAGUUUCUUCUUCUCUGCCUUCUUCUUCACGGUGGCACAGUGAAAGUCAGAGCAAUGAGAGCGUGAGAUGUGAGAAGAGAGAAACUAAUCGAGAGAGAGAGAGAGAAGUUGUCUGAGAGUGAGACUGAAACGGAGAGAAAGGCAGCACCUGAGAGAUGGGAAGAGAGAGAUCCGGGUGGCCCGUGAAGGUGAAACCCGGAGAUACCGUAGCAGAACCUGUGACCCGUGACCCAGCCGAACCGUAGCAGAUCGAUCCAAACUCGGCCGGGUUCCGGCCGAUUGUAGCAGACCCGAGAGUAGAGAGACCGUGAGAUGUCGAGGGAGAUCGGGAAGUUGAGGAGUGCCCGGACCCGAUCCUCCGGUGGGUGGCGCCGACGAGGCCAGAAGACACCGACGACACGACCUCCGGCGAGCCCGUGAGAACCCAUAGCCCAGAUCCCAGCUACUGGUCAAAACCCAUCUCAGACCCGGCGAGAUCUAACCCGCAAACCCAGUAACCGUGCGUGAAAUCAUGACCCGAACCGUGAGACCACAGAGGCCCAAAACCCGUAGCCCAGACCUGCAGACCCAUGGGCUGACUUCAGCCCAGGCCCGCUGAGCCCAAACCCGGCAGUGAUCCCCAACACAUGACCCGAACCCGGAAACCUGACCCACCGGCGACCCGUCUCCGGUAGACACUCCGGCGACUUUUCCGGCGACUUUCCGGCGACCGAACUCACUAUUUUCACUGGAUUUUCUAGUAAAAAUCCUUAAUAUGAUGAACUGAGAAACUGUACAAAAAGACUCCCAUGUUGCAGGUACGAAAGUGUAUAAAGCUCAAGGAUAGGAGUUUGUUAACAUUACAGGAAUUAGAACUGUUCGAUAAUGUAGUUGAUGAUUGUAGUGAAUUCUUGUAUCAAUUUGAAAUGUAAUACUUUAAUUACGUUUAUCACUCAAUAAAGCUCUAAAUGUGUUAUGUUAUCAA